AGUGAACGCUGGCGACGUGCUUAACACAUGCAAGUCGAACGAGAACGGGUUAUAGCUUGCUAUAAUUGUCAGCUAAGUGGCGCACGGGUGAGUAAUGUCUAGGUAAUAUGCCUCUUACUAAGGGAUAACAAAUGGAAACGUUUGCUAAUACCUUAUACUCCUUAUUAACAUAAGUUAAUAAGGGAAAGAUUUAUUGGUAAGAGAUUAGCCUGUAUUGUAUCAGUUAGUUGGUGGGGUAAUGGCUUACCAAGACUAUGACACAUAACUGGUUUGAGAGGAUGAUCAGUCACACUGGAACUGAGACACGGUCCAGACUCCUACGGGAGGCAGCAGUGGGGAAUAUUGCACAAUGGACGAAAGUCUGAUGCAGCAACGCCGCGUGGAGGAUGACACAUUUCGGUGCGUAAACUCCUUUUAUAUGAGAAGAUAAUGACGGUAUUAUAUGAAUAAGCACCGGCUAACUCCGUGCCAGCAGCCGCCGUAA
rnacentral:rRNA from 1 species